GAAAAAGUUAAUAGAAGCUGUAAAUUAUUUUGUUCCUGACGUAUUUUUCCUAAAGGUGGUACAUUAUAUGAAUAAUAGAGGUCUAUGUAAAAUAAUUAUUUUAAAAGGUUGAAAAAUUUCAUUAUAUAAUUUGCAAAAUAAUUGUACUUUUUAAACUUGGAAAUAAUACUCUCUAAAGUAAUUUGUGUAGGGAAAUUAUACAGUAAUAUUUAGUAUGGAAAGUAGAACAUUGCAUCUUUGGAAAAUUGGAUAAAACAUAUUACACAUCUGUCUACAAAAACAUAUUACACAUCUGUCUACAUGGGAUCAUGCCUGUGGAGCUAACAAAAAGGAGUAAAUUAUUAACUUGAUUCCAUGUAGAGGCAUAAAGCAAUCUCCCCUGGAGGACUGUUUGGCUUAGUGUCCUAUAAUGGGACAAGUUAAAUGCUUUAGAAAGGUACUGGAUUCUGUUAAAAUAUAUAUAUUUAAUUCUUAGGUCAGGAAAAUUAAUUUUCCAGAUAUGAUUUUGAAUCUGUCUACACAAUCUCAAUUACCAGUUUCAUUUUUUUUAAACUAUGUCCUAGAAACAUCUACCAUUUCUGAGCCUUACACAUGAGUUCAGGAACUCCUGAAUGGUUAUAAUUUAAGAAAUAUUUUUUGAUUAACUUAGAGAAGUUCAUUAUGGCUUUGUUAAAUGAAAAUCUUACCACUUCAUACAGUUCAAAAAUGUUAUGAUUUUGAAACAUUAACUCUGCAGAAGAAACAGUUUGUGAAUAAAAAUUAUAACUAUCUUGAUACUAUGCUAAUUUUUUUCAAUUUUUCACUAUUUUCUUACAAAUAAUAGUGUGUAUCUUAGAACUAUUAUAAUUGAUUAUAAAUGUAUUCUAUCCAUAUAAUAUCUUCACCUCACAUGAACUUUAUGUAGUUGUCAAAAUCCCUUAGAAUGAGUAAAAUGAUUAACAUAAUAAUAUAACAAAUAUGUUUAUAAAUGUAUAAAUGUGUUUAUAAGAAAGUCAUUUAUCAUUUUAUAAUUUUUGUGACUACAGACAACUUGGCAAAUGCAGAAAAACAAUAACCCCCAACUCCCAGAUAUAAUUUUGUUGAAACCUAUGAUAUUUCAUUUAUAGAUUUAUGUAGUAAUUUAUUUCUCUAUUCUUCUGUACCUCUUCACUUAUUUCCUAUUUUUCAUUAAUUAUAAAUAACAGCAUAAAAAAUUACUUUACAAAUAUAUUGUAACAGAUGAGUAAAAAUACAUAAUUUUUAAAAUAAAAAUGCAUUUUUCCAAUGAGGUAUGAAACUUUAUAAACAACCAAUGGAACUGAAACAGUGUAAAAAUUAGUUUCUGAUAAUAUUUUAAGAAGUUACUUUAAAAUUGAGAUUUAGGCUUAAUAUUGAAUGAAAAAGUUUUAAAUUAUUUUCUGAUUUCACUGUUUGAGUUUUGAGGGAUAAUGUUUAUGCAAGUGUGAUUUUUUUUUUUAUUAUGGAUCAAUGAUUUUAAAAGGUGUAGUCCCUAAUCCAAGUUAAUGGAACAUUUUCUUAUAUAGUCAUAAUGUCUCCCACAUAUUAGGUGACCUCCAUUUUUCCCUAUGAAUUGCUUUUAAAAUUGUUGAAGGAUGGAAAAUUACCAUGGGUGGGUGAUUCUGUAAACCUUUGCAUAGAUAGUCGGAUACUUGUUCACAUGUAAUAACAACUCACCUCUUUUCAUAGUCCUCACGUGCAGAUUUGUCAAAGUUAUGACAACUAGGAUGGGACUAGAUGCCAUGAAAAGUCACAUUAGAGACUUAAAAAAAAGUUAAAGGUUGAAUCAAUCCUAUUUUGGUAUUUUUAUUCAUCUAUUAUUGAGCAAUUUAUUCCUAGUCAUAAUAAUAUUUAUAUAACCCUUGUUCCAGAUGUACACAAAAAUUGGCAUGGUAGGUUUUUUAGGUCAUAAACUAAAUUUAACAUAUAAUGUAAUUUUUAAAAUCAUUUUUCUAUUACUAUUCAAAUGCUCACUCUUUUAUAUGAUAAAAACUUUAUAUCACACAGUUAGGGGAAGUUUCCUUUGGUUUUUGCCUAGAGUUUUUUAAAAAUCUCAUUAGACUUUGAAACCAAGGUCUUUGAGAAAAACAUUAAGAAAAACAAGGAGAACAAUCCAUUAGUUAUAUGCAGAGGAGAAUGAACAAUAGGCAGGGGUAAGAAAGCAGGCAUUUUCUGAUCCCACAGGUUACCAGUGACUGUAUUCUCUUUGCCCUAUUCAAAACCAAUAACAAGGUUCAUCAGCUUGCUGUACCCUAUAUAAUCUGCUCUUGGACUUACAAGAAAACAUUUACCGACUUCCACACUGUAUGAAACUCCCUCAGAGCUAUCUCAUACCCAACUGCCCAUAGUAGGCAAUGAAGUUCGUCUCUUCCUCCUUUCCUUCCUGCCCCUUCUGCUCCUCCUCCUCCUUCUUUACCAUACUUAUCUCGAAAAAAAAAAAAGAAAAAA
rnacentral:lncRNA from 1 species